UACAGAGGUCCCAAGCGUUGUUCGGAUUCACUGGGCGUAAAGGGUGCGUAGGCCGCACGGCAAGUCAGAUGUGAAAGCCCGGAGCUCAACUCCGGAAUGGCAUCCGAUACUGCCGUGCUCGAGGACUGGAGAGGAGUCUGGAAUUCACAGUGGAGCAGUGAAAUGCGUAGAUAUUGUGAGGAACACUAGUGGCGAAGGCGAGACUCUGGACAGUUCCUGACGCUGAGGCACGAAGGCCAGGGGAGCAAACGGG
rnacentral:rRNA from 1 species